rnacentral:lncRNA from 10 species
GAGAUGGAGUCUCACUCUGUCGACCAGGCUGGAGCGCUGUGGUGCGAUAUCGGCUCACUGCAGUCUCCACUUCCUGGGUUCAAGCGAUCCUCCUGCCUCAGCCUCCCGAGUAGCUGGGACUACAGGCAGGCGUCACCAUAAUUUUUGUAUUUUUAGUAGAGACAUGGUUUCGCCAUGUUGGCUGGGCUGGUCUCGAACUCCUGACCUCAAGUGAUCUGUCCUGGCCUCCCAAAGUGUUGGGAUUACAGGCGAAAGCCAACGCUCCCGGCCAGGGAACAACUUUAGAAUGAAGGAAAUAUGCAAAAGAACAUCACAUCAAGGAUCAAUUAAUUACCAUCUAUUAAUUACUAUAUGUGGGUAAUUAUGACUAUUUCCCAAGCAUUCUACGUUGACUGCUUGAGAAGAUGUUUGUCCUGCAUGGUGGAGAGUGGAGAAGGGCCAGGAUUCUUAGGUUGAUCUAUCUGUGGGUUAUGACUUCCCACAAUAGCCACCCCCGGCCCCCACCAGUCCUUUUAUUGGCUCUGGAUGGAAAAUCCCUACCCAUGUGAUGGUCCCUGGUCUCUCCUAUAGUUUGACCAACAGUUGACCCAAAAGGUUAUGGUCUUCAGCGUUUUAAUUAUAUCCACGACUAGAUACUGGGGUCUGUAUUCUUCAAAGUGUGGGGCUGCCUAUUCUCCCAGGAACCAAAUGGCCUCCGUCUUAAGAAAGUAUGCUUACUAGGAAAUACCCUGCCUACCUUAGGAAUAAAUGCUACUUAAGGAAAAAAUAAGAGAGCUGAAAAAGCUGGUGCCAUUUGAAAAAAAAAGGGAAGGAAUGAGAUUUAACUGGUGCUCAAAGCUUCUCCGAUACAAAAUAUUUGGUCAUGUAUUCAUAAUUUGCUUGACAUUUCCAGCAAAGCGAAGAUGGCAAUAACAAAAGGAACUUCUUACAAGAGAAGAGAAAGACCCACGGAGCUCCAGAGUUUCUGUUGGAACAAGACUCUUCUGUUUUGCUUAUAUACAGUUAAGUUCGUUUAGUGUCUGAUCCAGUGUCUGAUGUAAGCCCACGUUCUCUUCUUUGGCCUGGGCAAGUUUCUCUGGUCAUCAAUUGUCUUUUCCAGUUUUGCAACCGUUCUCUCUGCAA